UCAUUUCCAUAAAGAAUGUGUCAGUUUCCUUUUUAAAGAGUGUUUCCCUUUAAGAAAUGCUCAAAUUUAAAUAAAAAUUCCCCAGAAGGCCUGCACUAAGAAAAUCUAAAUCUUUAUUUCAGGUGGAUGUAAUUUUAUUUUGACUUUUCGUAAUUAUGUGGAGAACAAACGUUUCAUGACUGGGAAUAAAUAGCAGAACAGAGAAUAGCAGAGAUAAACUUCAUAUGAGAAGGACCUAUAAAUUUCUACUACCAUCAAAUAAGGGAGUUUUUCAGGCUUGAAUAGACAGAGUUUCUACUUCAGAAAGAUCCUUCAUCUCAGGAUAACAUUCAGAUAUGACAUUUUUAAGGUUGAAAACACAGCAAAUUUCAUCAGCUGCUAACACCAUAGCUGUAAAUAAAAGGCCUGCUGGCCUCCUCAGGAAAACAUUUCCCUUUGCACCACCUUGGCCAGGCUCUUCACAGAACCAUCUGCAGAUGAACCACGAACCACUUUGUGGCUUUGCAAUAGGGGUCCACCACAAAACGGGAAUUUGGUGUUGGCUCAUGGCCGAAAUGCUUUUAGGGUGUUAAUUUUUUAAUGACUUGCUGUUUCUAAAUCCAGGCAACCUGAAAAUUUAGGUCCAGUGUGUUGUUGUUUUUUUUUUUUUUCACAGACUGGAGCCCGUUUGCCCAGGGGUGUGUUACAAAGAUCAUCCACAAGGAGGAGCCAAGUUUACAAAUAAUUCGUUAAAAAAAAAAAAAAAUCGGCUGCAGCUCUCUGUUAGCCCAUACCCAGAUUAAACAGAUUAGUGAGUAAUCAUUGCUUGAUAAAAUAAGCAGUGUUUGCUUUCAGCUCGAGCCCCAUCAGGAAGAAGAUUCAGCAGCUAAAGGAUGUUUCCUUAAUUACAUUAUCCUGCCUUCUCCCAAUUACAUGGGGAACAGAUGUUUUAUGGCUGGAGACAAACACAAGGAGAGGGAAUAUCAAAGACAAACUGCCUGUAACAAGAGUCUAUAAAAUCAAAUAAAAGCACCUAACUAAUUAAACAGGCCAAUCGCUGCACUAUUGUAGCUUGCUUUGGCUUUUUGUUAAACUCAAUUACUUACAAUGCCAACCACAUUUUGCCCGGCCAGCAAGGUGUGAUUAAGAGAAAUUGGUUCCCUGGGGACUGCUGGGUGAUGCUGAAAGAAAACUGCAAAGAUGGGGUGAGCCUUCAGAGAUCCAAGCGAUGUCAAAAAGAUGCACGUGCACUCUGAGCAUAUUUAGGCAUGGGUUUUGAAACCAAAAUCCAAAACCUGAGGACUGUAAACUAGGUGGCCAUGUCUGAAAACUUCACCCUAGGCAAACUGUCUUUGGUUACCCAGUUGUGCCUGGCAGAAUAAGGAACAAAAUCCUUAACUGUUAAAGAUGAGUAAAACCCUGCCACAUGUCUUCAUGAGAACCAGCAAAGGUUUCUCCUGAAUUCACUUGAGCCAGGAUUUCACUCAAGACUCGUUUCAUGUAAUCUGGUGUUAGUCCAGGUCUCAGCUGACUCACCUUCCCUGGAAAUGACAUGUUUUCUCCUUCCUAUUUAGACAUUUUAUUUAUAGAAUUCAGAACAAGGUUAGCGGUUUAUUUCUUUUUUUCUGUCUGUUACUACCCUGGCUACCUUUCUGUUUUCUUAAUUUGCUGCCCACACGGCAAAGGAUUACUGGAGUGCACUGAUGAAAAUACCCUAACAAAGGUGACCACAGACCCAACAAGGACAUGCACCCUGCUGGACCCCACGCUUACAAAGAAAGAAGACCUCAUCAGAGAGGUGAAGGUCAGGGGCAACCUUGUCUGCAGCAACCAUGAGCUGGUGGAGGAUUCUGCAAGGAGGGAACAAGGCAAAUGUCAGAAUCACAUCCCGGGCUUCAGGAGAGACUUUGGCUUCUUCAGGUAUCUGCUUAGAAAAAUCCUGUGUGAAGGAUCCAUCCCUAGAGCGAAGGGACCAUGGGAGCCAGUUGUGGUGCUUUUACUUGGUUGGGCAGCCAAGUUCUACCACAGCCACUCUCUCACUCCCCCUUCUCGAAGGGAGAGAAAAUACAACCCUUCCAAACCACCAAAUCAUUUUAUAAUUCUGUAACACUCUCAAUUAUCUCUGAAAGGUCAUGGUGACCAGGAGAGGCUCCCAAAGAAUGGAAAACAGAAAAUGUUUCUUCUAUCUUCAAGCAGGGCAAGGAGGAAAACCCUGGAAAAUACAGGCUAGUCAGCCUUGGAAGGCGAUGGAGCAAAUAUUCCCAGAUUUCCAAGUGUAUGAAGGACAAGGUGACUGGGUGCAGUCAGCAUGGAUUUUGUAACCAUGAGCCCUGUAAUACUGCAGAAUUUGUAAUAGAAAUAGCCCAGAAGCUUUGUACUGAGUCUGCAAGGCCUCAGGCUGAGGCUUGCUCUCCCUAAACCGUUCCCAACUUGCCUGAAGCUUGGCUUUAUUUGGUUUGACUAAUUUGUCUAAUUGACAUGGGGGGUCAAACAGAUUUGGGCUGGAUGAUCCCCAGCAGUCCCUACCAACCCCAACUUUCUGUGAUUCUGUGAAAAUGAAGCCUAAAGAAACACACCCAGAGCUUUCUUCGUGCUAACGAUCAGCAAACACAGUUUUUUUAUUGUUUGAAUUUUUAAGAACAUUUCAAACCACAAUUUCCUCCUUCUUCUGACCUUCCUUCAAGUGACUAAUUACAAAUCAUGAAGGAAUUAAUAGUAAAGAGCUGCUAUAAAGCCUUUGGGAGGAGCUUAUGGAUUUAGGGUCAUUUAUUCAAAUUCUUUAGUGACAAAAUACUGUUUUAAUUUGACUGAGUGUUUUAGAAAAAAAUGGCAACAAAAGAAUGUGAAAGUACUAUUGUUCUUCUGCACUGCUUCUCCACACAAUGACUCAGAAAAUUCACAUAUGUGAAUGCUCACAAAUGGAUUUAAGCAUAUGAAAAUGAAUGCACAUUUUGAAUCCAAGAUGCCUUUUGCAAGCAUCCUCACUUUGGCUGCUUCUUAGUUUCUUCCCAUAAGAACAGCUGGAAACAAUGUCUUGGGUAGGUCUGGUGUCUUCAAAUCAGGAGUAGAUCAAAACUAACGUCAGUUUGAUCAAACAUUUUCUGUGCCCUCAUUUUCUCUUCUUACUCCUCUCUGUAAAAAAAAACUUUGAAUUUAGACAGGAUUUUUUUUCCAGCUUCACAUUUUACAAACUUUCAUCCAGAAAAUAGUGUUUUAUUGACAUAUAUAUAUAUAGCAUUGCCCAUUAAGUUAUUAUGU